GAUGAACGCUGGCGGCGUGCCUAAUACAUGCAAGUCGUACGGAAAGGCCCUUCGGGGUACUCGAGUGGCGGACGGCUGAGUAACGCGUGGGAACGUGCCCCAAAGUGAGGGAUAACGCACCGAAAGGUGUGCUAAUACCGCAUAUGGUCUUCGGAUUAAAGCUUCGGCGCUUUGGGAGCGGCCCGCGUACGAUUAGAUAGUUGGUGAGGUAAUGGCUCACCAAGUCGACGAUCGUUAGCUGGUCUGAGGAGAUGAUCAGCCAGACUGGGACUGAGACACGGCCCAGACUCCUACGGGAGGCAGCAGUAAGGAAUCUUCCACAAUGGGGGCAACCCUGAUGGAGCAACGCCGCGUGCAGGAUGAAGGUUUUCGGAUCGUAAACUGCUUUUAUAAGUGAAGAAUAUGACGGUAACUUAUGAAUAAGGAUCGGCUAACUACGUGCCAGCAGCCGCGGUAA
rnacentral:rRNA from 1 species